CUACUCUUCCAGCAAGUCCAGAAUUUAACGAUUGCUGUUCAAGUGGUCUAGACUGAUCUUGCACCUCUUGCAAUGAUGCCAUAGCCUGCUCAAGCUACCCCUGCAUCUCUUUCAAUGAUGCAGCCAGUGGUUUUCUCGAUGGUGCCACCAGCACCUCCUGCGGUGGUACACUCAUCAAAUCUGACUCCACACUCGGCUCCUCAGCCGCCGCC
rnacentral:lncRNA from 1 species